rnacentral:rRNA from 1 species
UACGAAGGGGGCUAGCGUUGUUCGGAAUUACUGGGCGUAAAGCGCGCGCAGGCGGCCUUGCAAGUCAGUGGUGAAAUCCCAGAGCUUAACUCCGGAAUUGCCAUUGAGACUGCGAGGCUUCGAGUUCGGGAGAGGUGAGUGGAAUUCCCAGUGUAGAGGUGAAAUGCGUAGAUAUUGGGAAGAACACCGGUGGCGAAGGCGGCUCACUGGCCCGUUACUGACGCUCAGGCGCGACAGCGUGGGGAUCAAACAGG